AUUGAACGCUGGCGGCAUGCUUUACACAUGCAAGUCGAACGGCAGCACGGGAGCGAUCCUGGUGGCGAGUGGCGAACGGGUGAGUAAUGUAUCGGUACAUGCCCAGUCGUGGGGGAUAACGCAGCGAAAGUUGUGCUAAUACCGCAUACGAUCUAUGGAUGAAAGCGGGGGAUCGCAAGACCUCGCGCGAUUGGAGUGGCCGAUAUCAGAUUAGGUAGUUGGUGGGGUAAAGGCCCACCAAGCCGACGAUCUGUAGCUGGUCUGAGAGGACGGCCAGCCACACUGGGACUGAGACACGGCCCAGACUCCUAUGGGAGGCAGCAGUGGGGAAUUUUGGACAAUGGGCGCAAGCCUGAUCCAGCAAUGCCGCGUGCAGGAUGAAGGCCUUCGGGUUGUAAACUGCUUUUGUAUGGAACGAAAAGACUCUCUCUAAUAAAGGGGGUUGAUGACGGUACCAUGAGAAUAAGCACCGGCUAACUACGUGCCAGCCGCCGCCGUAA
rnacentral:rRNA from 1 species